UACCGAGAGCCUCCUCUUCUCCCUCAAUCCCCAUCCUCUCCUUCUCCCAAAUCCGCCGCCUCCUCUUCUCCUCCCCAAUCCGCCACCUCCUCUUCUCCUCCGCAAUCCGUGAGCCCUCGCCACCAAGAAGCCACGGGUGCGCCGCCGCUGGAAGAAAAAAAGAAGAGGAGGUGGCGCGGGGAACAGCGGCGGCGACGGCCUGGGAGCCACCGUGGAGCAGGUGGAGAUGCGGGGCGGCGAUGAAGACGUGUGAGAAGAUGGCCUGAGCGUCCUCGUCAAGGGCAGUUUUGGCUACCUCCUCCCACCUCGGAUUGGGUUUGUCCGCUUGGUGGAGCAGGCAGGGAGCAAGUAGGCAAAUAUGGGAGAAGGAGAAUGACCCUGACGAGAUGGCUGCCAUAGGGUCGUGACCUUCUUUAGCAUGCACAUCGGCACCGUCCCCGCGUCCGCAGCAGGAGGACGACAAUGGCUGCAAGUGACGGCGCAGGAGCCCAUCUUGGUCGAGCACCCUCCCAGGAUUUUACUACUGUUAUGGACAAAAGAAGGCUAAAGCUGGGAAAGACAACAAUGUCAGGAGCCGACCGAGCUAGAUCCAAAAUGCAGAGAAGCAAGGUUUAUUUUCCUGGAGCUCCUAUAUUGCAGCUGGUGCUAUUUUGUUAUGUCAAAUUGUGUAUUUUUCCAGCUUCCCUUCCUCAUAUAUGAGCUUGUCUAUGGUGGGAUGGGGAUUCAGAGGAUAAAGUUUAUGGCAGUAAGGAGGUCAAGCGUGAGACGUCACAUGUCAAGGGGAUUUACUAUUUAGUCUCUUCUAAUCAGGUGAAGAGAUACUGCUGGUUUAAAGGAAUCCAUACUUUAACAUGAUUUCUCCCAAUUCAACAAAGUCAGGUACUACUCAUGUUCUUUCAUGCUAUGGAGCUACUCGAGGCAGCAGAACAUUAUGCCACACGGAGAUGGGGAUGGCCAUGCCCGCGCUGAUGCCGUCGGCCGUCGGUGAGAGCAUCACCGUCAACAACGGCUCCAGCGACCUCUCCAGGAGCUUCUCCAUGAGCUCCUCGGGCGACACCAACUCCAACAUCAUGUUCUUCACGCCCGGAAGCAAAAAAGCGAAGGUGCUCAUCGACAGCGACGACGGCAUGGUCACCAGCCUCAGCAAAAUCGAAUCCCAAUUUGGCAUGUCAACCACGUCUUUAGACAUGUCCGGCAUGGACGACUAUCUGCAGCUGCAGCAGUACUUCAUCGCCUGCACAGUCCGCACCAAGCGUGGCUGCGCCACUCACCCGCAAAGCAUCGCUGAGAGGAUUAGUUAAUUUCCUACAACAUUUUUGGUGUUUGUCUUGGUGCGACAUGUUUGUACUGAAUAUUUUUCUUUCUUAUGCUGUUUAGGAAAGAAGAGCAAGGAAUAGCAAGAGGCUAAGGAGGCUGCAAGACCUCGUGCCCAAUAUGGACAAGUUAUUCUUUUACCACAACCACUGCACUCUUCGGUUGGCAGAAUCAAGGAAAAGAUAUCUCAUGAAAAUCUAGUAGGAAGUGAUGAAUCGAACAAGGAGGAAGGGUAACACAAUGACGUGUUUGGUCUUCAGCCAUUUCUUUACUAAGAAACUAAGAGAGCCGAAGGUGGAGCGGCGACGAGAGCUGGCCAUUUGUUAACAGUCGCAGACACGCGUGUACCCUGCUCGCUGGCCGUUGCAAACUGAACGGCUACAUGCAUUAAACGGCCAUACACAAAGCUAGCUUACACAGUAAGCGGAGGAGUUGAACUAGGUUGAGCUGCUGCUUCAUAUGGCCUGGAACGCCAGGCCGUCUUCUGUGUUGUCGUCGCGGGCACCACGGGACCGUCUUGGUCUUCUUCCGUGUCACCAUCGAGAGGUAGCAGGAAAUGUGUGUCGAGAGGCACAUGAAUACGCCCGUGGAUUGUUUUUCAGCGUGCUCAGUUUUAAAAAACGAGUUAUGUGGUUCUUUUCUUAAUACAGAGAAAAAAAUGAUAAUUUUGCAAGUGCUACAGUAUUAAGAUCACUGUUUUUAAUACUGUAAUUUAAACCACAGUUUUUAGUGGUAGCCAAACAGCUCACUGUAAUUAAAACUUUGUUAAUCUAAAAAACUGUGUUAUUUUCAAAAUACAUAGAAAGUACUUUGCUAUCAAACAGGGCUACAAGUGCAGAUUUCCUUGAAGAUAGUAUAUUUUAUAAUUGUAUUGCCAACAUGCUUCCAUAGUUUUAUCACCACAAACUAAUUCUAGCUGCUUCCAUAGUAAGGUAACAAUAAUCUGUGUUAUAGCAGAAUAUAGAUGUAGUGUGCUUGUCUGAAUAUAAUGCAGAGUUUAGAAAUGAACUAAAAUCUGAGAGCAGGAAGUAAUAGGCUUAUUUUCCAGUUAGAAAAAUAUAUGUACUGUAGCAUCAUGUAUUCAGGUAAUCCCUUGUAUUUUUUUGCCAGGUUCAUGUUUUAUAUAUUGUCUAUACACCACAUAAACUAAAGUUUGUAGUGUCAGCAGUAAACAGGGGCACACCUUAGUAUGGGUAGAAAAAUAAGAGCUUGUGAAAAGAAUAGUAUCUCUAUUACAGGACAAGAAUGACUCUUUAGUUUUAUGCUGAUGUGUGAAAGCACCCCAUUAUCAUGCAAAUAGUACCAGGUUUAGAGCCUUGAUUAUGGCGGCUAUAAACCCAAAACAAUCCAUCUUAUUAUUUAGUAUACAAAGCACGUUCUGGUGGGAAUGACUCCAAUUAGAAUUCUAGCUGCUGGCAUAUAUCUGAUUGGUCCCGGAUUGAAAAUCUCAAUUGUCAGGACUUGCUUGUAUGCAUUCCUAAAUAGUGUAAAACUGAAGCUUGCUGCUCGUGAGGUGUCAGCCAUAAACAUGUAUUAUGACCAUUGUUUAUCCGGUGAAGUGCCUAAAAUAUAGAGUUACAGUAGGGUUUUUACCCUACCGUGUUUGCUAAAAAAAAGUGCCUAAAAUUCAGUGACCAUAGCUUUCCACUUUAGCUCAUAAACUGGAUGGCAAAAUAGAGUUUGCCCAUUUCAUAUCUAUGUUGUCUUAUUAGGAAAAUAGAGUUUGUUUUAUAGCUGAUGCUUAAUAUGUUUCAUCGACUGGUAUGCUCUAACUUUAGCUCAUAAACUGGAUGGCAAAUGCUAAUUCUAAUGGGGCUUUUGCCACUUAUUGUUUUAUGGUUGUCUAGACAGCUGAUGGCAUGCUUCUUUUUGCGAAUUGUCAAUUCUUUUGUACAGGGUCCCUCGGCUACUUAUGCUCUGCCAGACAAUGAGAGUAUGUAGAUAGCAUGUAUGGUUUUUACAUUGCUUUGCGCAGGUUGAGAUGCAUCACAUGAUGUUUUCCUUUUACAUUUAUGAGUAUUAUAGAGUCCUUUCUUUUUCCACAAGGGGCAGUAGCUAUGCCAUUUGAUUCGAAGGACAAAGAGUUGAUCACAAAGGGGUAGCAUUCAGAAUAUAUACACAAAAGAUUAUAGAACCAAAUUAUAUGAUGUAAUUGACUACUAUUUCUAUUAACUUCUCUUGUACACAAUGUUCACGAGUUCAUGUAUUAAGUACAUUUUAUUGUGUCACUUGUGUUUACUCUUCUUUUAAUGCAAGUUUACAGCUACUCGGAAUUUCUAAUUGUAGACUCAACUAUCUUGACGUACCGAUGAUCUAAUUUGUGGCAUUAUUACCUUAAGAAAAUAUUUGCAUUUAAUUUUCUUUAUAUAUAGGGGUAUAAGUUCUUACCAAAUGUACUCAAAUAUACGGUUAUUGAAAAAUGCAAAUAUUUUCAACACGAACAUGGUUUUAAACGGGUCUUUGCGCCAUUUGGCGCAACUGG